AUUGAACGCUGGCGGCAGGCUUAACACAUGCAAGUCGAGCGGAGAUGAGGUGCUUGCACCUUAUCUUAGCGGCGGACGGGUGAGUAAUGCUUAGGAAUCUGCCUAUUAGUGGGGGACAACAUUCCGAAAGGAAUGCUAAUACCGCAUACGUCCUACGGGAGAAAGCAGGGAAUCUUCGGACCUUGCGCUAAUAGAUGAGCCUAAGUCGGAUUAGCUAGUUGGUGGGGUAAAGGCCUACCAAGGCGACGAUCUGUAGCGGGUCUGAGAGGAUGAUCCGCCUCACUGGGACUGAAACACGGCCCAGACUCCUACGGGAGGCAGCAGUGGGGAAUAUUGGACAAUGGGGGGAACCCUGAUCCAGCCAUGCCGCGUGUGUGAAGAAGGCCUUAUGGUUGUAAAGCACUUUAAGCGAGGAGGAGGCUACUGAGACUAAUACUCUUGGAUAGUGGACGUUACUCGCAGAAUAAGCACCGGCUAACUCUGUGCCAGCCGCCGCCGUAA
rnacentral:rRNA from 1 species